UUAAGAUCAACUAGGAAAACAAGAAUAGAUAGUUAACCACAAAAUAACGCACAUCACAAAUCAGUGAGGCUGGACACUUUAUUCAUGGACAAGCAAACAAAACAAUGCUAAUGAGACAUAAUAGGAAAUUGUACUAUUGACAAACAUGAACAAAGGAAACUUGGAUAUUUAGAACUACAACAAACAUAAGGGGGGAAAGAGGAAUGAACAUGAUUUAUCAUUCUUUCGAGAUAUCAUUCUUGUAAUACCACUGAUAGGAACAAGAUAUGAAUCUUGUAAUAAAAGACAGUCAUCAAUGACACAACAGUCAUAAAGGACGACAUAAAUCUACGCCUAUUCACACGAACUUAAACUUGUAAUCG
rnacentral:misc_RNA from 1 species